UACGUAGGGGUGCGAGCGUUUGUCCGGAAUUAUUGGGCGUAAAGAGCUCGUAGGCGGUCUGUCGCGUCGGUCGUGAAAACUUGGGGCUUAACCCUGAGCUUGCGGUCGAUACGGGCAUGACUGGAGUUCGGUAGGGGAGACUGGAAUUCCUGGUGUAGCGGUGAAAUGCGCAGAUAUCAGGAGGAACACCGGUGGCGAAGGCGGGUCUCUGGGCCGAUACUGACGCUGAGGAGCGAAAGCAUGGGUAGCAAACAGG
rnacentral:rRNA from 1 species